rnacentral:rRNA from 1 species
GACGAAGGGGGCUAGCGUUGUUCGGAAUUACUGGGCGUCCGGGCGCGCAGGCGGCUCUACAAGUUAGGCGUUAAAGACCCAGGCUCACCCUGGGGAGUGCGCUUGAUACUGUGGGGCUAGAGAUCGGAAGAGGAGAGUGGAAUUCCCAGUGUAGAGGUGAAAUUCGUAGAUAUUGGGAAGAACACCAGUGGCGAAGGCGGCUCUCUGGUCCGAUUCUGACGCUGAGGCGCGAAAGCGUGGGGAGCAAACAGG